GAGCGUGGACUAUAUUUUUAGGUUUACUUUGCAGAGGUAAUUUAAGGGGUUGUCCCUCGCGCUUU
rnacentral:tRNA from 1 species